rnacentral:rRNA from 1 species
CAACAGGGAUUGCCCCAGUAACGGCGAGUGAAGCGGCAACAGCUCAAAUUUGAAAUCUGGCUCCCGGGCCCGAGUUGUAAUUUGUAGAGGAUGCUUUUGGUGAGGUGCCUUCCGAGUUCCCUGGAACGGGACGCCACAGAGGGUGAGAGCCCCGUCUGGUUGGACACCGAUCCUCUGUAAAGCUCCUUCGACGAGUCGAGUAGUUUGGGAAUGCUGCUCUAAAUGGGAGGUAUAUGUCUUCUAAAGCUAAAUACCGGCCAGAGACCGAUAGCGCACAAGUAGAGUGAUCGAAAGAUGAAAAGAACUUUGAAAAGAGAGUUAAAAAGUACGUGAAAUUGUUGAAAGGGAAGCGCUUGUGACCAGACUUGGGCUCGGUUGAUCAUCCAGGGUUCUCCCUGGUGCACUCCUCCGGCCCAGGCCAGCAUCAGUUCGCCCCGGGGGAAAAAGGCUUCGGGAAUGUGGCUCUCUCCGGGGAGUGUUAU